GGCCUAAUGGCCCAAUGGCAAGGCGCUUGACUACGAUAUCAGCAUUCAAACUGGAAAUCGGCAUCAAGAGAUUCCAGGUUCGACCCCUGGUUAGGUCA